rnacentral:rRNA from 1 species
GGUUGAUCCUGCCAGUAGUCAUAUGCUUGUCUCAAAGAUUAAGCCAUGCAUGUCUAAGUAUAAACAACUUUAUACUGUAAAACUGCGUACAGCUCAUUAAAUCAGUAAUUAUUUAUUUGAUGGUACCUUACUACAUGGAUACCCGUAGUAAUUCUAGAGCUAAUACAUGCACAAAAUCCUGACUCUUCUGGGAAGGGAUGUAUUUAUUAGAUAAAAAACCAAUGCACCCUCUGGGUGGUUUGUGGUGAUUCAUAAUAACUGAUCGAAUCGCAUGGUCUUGUGCCGGCGAUAGU